UCCCAAAGUCCAAAGUUGUCCAAAUGAAAUUUUGAUCAGUGCAAGUGAAAGAGCUUGGCACCGGGAAGAACUAUUCUGAAAGGAGUAAGGUGAUCAGAGGAGAAGAAAGGUGAGAAAAUCUAGAGAGAAGGUGGAGGGUUUAGAGAGAAGGAGGAGAUUUGAGUUUGCUGAAGGUUGAAGAUGAAGAGGUGCAUGCAGAGAAAAUGGCGUCAGCUUUAAAAUCCUUCUUUAAAUAUAUACUGCUUCCCAAAAACUGAAAGGUCGAAUCCUAUACUGCCACCUGUUUUCCACUCUCUGAGUUCUGCUCCCCGAUCACUGCCACUUGGAUUCCAUUUUCUGCCAAUUCCAAC
rnacentral:lncRNA from 1 species